GACUCCCCACUGACUCCCCCGUCAAUACCAUGUCCUCACUAUUAUUUUCAUCAUUGUGUUGUUUGUGUUCGUCGUCGUUGUCAUUUUUAUUAUCUCUGUCAUUAUUGUUACUAAUUACCAAUCAGGUAUCGCGAAGCAGUUUCUGACGUAGUGGACAAAAAAGAUAUCAUCCAAUGAGAUAAAAGCGAUAAAUAUCAGCCGUUUGAAAUUUUUGGACAGAGAAACCGUUCGAAGCGCCACGCGACACGAUAUUGGCGAGCGGAAUAAGCUAAAGCCAUAAAGACGCGUGUGUUGGUCGUGUCGGUGGUGUUAACCCAUGAUCAGAGGGGAAUGAGUGCGAGGAGAGAGAGAACGGAUCGAUCUUGUGCUAUUAGUCAACGAACGCUAUCGUGCAGUGGAAACGGGGACUCCAGUUAUGCGAUGUUUCCUGGAUUUAUAAUAAAAAAGAUCUGCAUGUAAAAAGGGUGUAUCUGGGGAUCGCGAUUCCACGUUGAGAAUUCGCGUUCUUCGGUGCUCGGGUUUGGUAAAAAAAAGAAACUUUGUGUGUAUAAUAAGUCAUCCUAUCAAGAGAGUUGGUGGGGAUCGACUCGUGUGGACGACUCUCUGUGGUGUGGGGAAACUGGAAAGGAAAGGAAAGCAAAGCAAAGCGGAAA
rnacentral:lncRNA from 1 species